AUUGAACGCUGGCGGCAUGCUUUACACAUGCAAGUCGAACGGUAACAGGCCUUCGGGUGCGGAGGCGUGGCGAACGGGGGAGUAAUGCGCAGGAACGUACCCAGAGGUGGGGGGUAAAGCAGCGAAAGCGGUGCUAAUAUCGCAUGUGAUACGAGGAUGAAAGAGGGGGAGCGAGCAGCAAUGUUUGGCCUCGCGCCUUUGGAGCGGCCGAUGUCGGAUUAGCUAGUUGGUGGGGUAAAGGCCUACCAAGGCGGCGAUCCGUAGCUGGUCUGAGAGGACGACCAGCCACACUGGGACUGAGACACGGCCCAGACUCCUACGGGAGGCAGCAGUGGGGAAUUUUGGACAAUGGGCGCAAGCCUGAUCCAGCAAUGCCGCGUGCGGGAAGAAGGCCUUCGGGUUGUAAACCGCUUUUGGCAGGAAAGAAAUCGUGUCCGCUAAUACCGCGCGCUAAUGACGGUACCGGCAGAAUAAGCACCGGCUAACUACGUG
rnacentral:rRNA from 1 species